ensembl:snRNA U6 U6 spliceosomal RNA
GUGCUCGCUUUGGCAGCAUAUUAGAACUAAAUUAGAAUGAUACAGACAAGAUUAGCGUGGCCCCUGCACAAGGAUGACACACAGAUUUGUGAAACAUUUCAUAUUUUU